rnacentral:lncRNA from 1 species
GGAGAAGUCUUAUGUGAUUUGCGAAACUGAGUUCAGAAAGUCUUUGACUAAUGUAAGUGUGAAUACUAAAAAAGAGUUUCUAUGAGAUUCAUAAAUAAACUCAAGUCAAGCCAAUCUAGUAUAUAACUGAUGAUACGAUUUGACAAGUUCUUCAUGAUAUCUAUCAAGUCGGGACUCAUGAUAGAAGAACUAAAUCAUACGAUAACUGUACCUAGAGGUUCAUACUUUCAUUCUACUGGAUUAUCACUAUAUACUUUCAUUAUACAGGUAGAUUGUGGGACUCAUCGAACGUCAUCUUGAUGAUUGAUGACCCU